UUAAAGAAUUAUUUAAUUAAAACAAGCUCCUGUGUCUUGCUGAAAACUUUCUUGUAAUGCAUUUUUUUUUUCUUAUUUCAAGUGUGCUAAGACAUUUGCAUUAAUACUAGAUCAAAAGUACUUAAUGGUGAGAUUUUUUUUUUUUUUUUUUUUUUUGCAGUGAUCAAAUGCGUCACUGGAUGGCAAAACAAAGUUAAGCUUUUGGAGUGGCCUAGAACAUUUUAUGAAAUCUGUGAGGGGAGUAAAUACUUUUUCACUGCACUGGAUGCGUAUACGCUCCUCACUAUCUGCAUGUUUUCAUUGAAUCCAACCAGAAACACAUUAAACAUCUAUGACUCUUGUUUCUAUGAUCAGUUGCAGUGGUCCAAUAUAGCGCAAUAUGUUUUCUGAAUAUAUUCAACAUAUGUUUACUAUUUGAUUUAAUGGAUUUUAUCUGAAGAUAUUAAAAAAAAUAAAUACAUUGUAGCAUUAAAUGUAAUACAUCUUUUGGGAUUUUAUGUUAUAUUUACUGUAAUAAAAGCAAAAGAAAAUCAGGAAAAUCAAAUGAAAUAUUGAUGAAAGCCUCCAACCUAAAUAAACCCUGGCUGCGCUUUUAGCAGCCGGUUACAGCAUGCAGUACUGUAGAUGAAUUUAGAAACUCAAAGAGGGGCCAAAGGAGGUUAAAACCCUGUCCAAACCUCCUGACUAAGCUUUUUGCUUUAUGCUGACCCUCGUGUCAGCACGCAGGUUUUACUGAACAAUGGUGAACACUGGUGCGUAAUUUUAAAAAGGGUCACGAAGGAAAAUUUAUCCCAGUUUGAUCCUUUAAGCCACACAAUGUCCCUGACUGCACAUAUAAAAGGAUGGUCAGUUAAAAAGAUGGAAAAAUAUCUAGUUCAGGAAGUGCUGUAAGGUGAAAAAUGUGGAAAGUAGUAAAUAAAUGAAUAAUGAAUGACUGUGAAGAACCCAGAAAUACAGCAUUAAAUCAGAAAAUGCAACACAAUGAAAUGAAUAAAGGUUUCUAAACGCUUUUCUUGUGACCUCUUUCCGUUUGCACUUUGUUCAACCGGUAGGGAGAUAUACAACAUAUUGGUAAAUCUUUAUUUGCGAUAGCAGCAGUCAGAUAUCGACCAAACCUUUUCUAUCUAUUCGUCUCUAGUUCCUAUCAUUUCAUUUUUAGAGGAUGUUUUCUUGAUUUGGCUCUUGCAGUUCUCAUCUGUUGCUAGGAGCUGCAGCACCCGCAAAGCUUUCUCAGAUAUUUAAUUUUUCCCCAGAAUGAAACGUAGGGCGACCUUCUGCGCGGUUUUUGCUAAUAACGUGAUGGAAGAACAGCUCCUUUGGAACAUGUGGCAUUUGUAAAGAAAUUAAAAACACUAAAGGAAAAACUAGAGUUAACCGGUCGUACGAUUUGCUGAACAAAAUAGUCCAAACUCGGCGGCGUUCACCUGAAGAGACGACGGCAACAACACGCGUCUUCUUUUCUGCCUUUCUGUUGUCGUGUUCUGUCCCUCAAAGCCUUUUUGUUUUAUUUCUUUGUUUUUUAAUAAAAUGAAGCAAACUUUGAAUUUCCAGGCCUCUGACACAAUGGCCUUACAAUUGUGGAAGACGGAUGAUCCCUGUAAGUACAGAGCGCUAAAAUGCGCACAAACACUGACUUCAUAUCACACAAGAUCAGACGACUUCACUGUGUUUUCUGUUAAUUAUUAUUUAUUCAUGAAUUCAAACAGAAAUAAAACCUGCCGAUUAUAUAUAUUUUUUUCUUGCUUAGUUUUCCAUUUUCCUUUCUUCAGUUUUUCCCCAUUAGAGGUUGGAGGUCAAACUUUGCUGUACACAUUUUUAUUUUUAUUUAUUUAUUUUUGCACACAUGUAGCAGUGAGGCAGCGGGGCUGUGACAAAAGAACAGGGGAAUAAGGAAUAGGAGACGUGUGGCCAUGAAUAUUUUAACGGCGCACUUCCAGAGAGGCUGAAAGAGAAACGGCAAGCAGAACAGGAACUAUUAGGCACUCGCUGUGAAUUUAAAAAAAAGUUUAAAUAAUAGACACAUGUUUGUUAACGCUGUUAGGUUCACAUCUGUUAAAAUGACACUGAAUCCGACUGUAUCGACGUUAAAAAAGCUUUGAGCUGCGCAGCUCUGAGUCCGCUGGGGCCAAAACACGGGAACAAGCAGAAGGGACUUUGAACGUUCAGCUUGUAUGUAUUUGUCUGAGGUCUCUUUGGAUUAAUUAUUCAUGCAAGUGCAUCAAAAAACGAAUCAACAAAAGAUAUUUUUCAAGAGUCGAGUCACCUGUUCUCAUCAAAACCUCUUCAGACGCCCGCAAGUGAAAUGAGGGAUUACCAAGAUCCAAAGUGUUUUACGAACUCAACAAUCUACGCAAGUCGCCUUUAUACAAAGAAAAAAAAGCAUUAUUUAUACCAUGGUAGAAUAAAAA